UUCCGGUUGAUCCUGCCGGACCUGACUGCUAUCGGAUUGAUACUAAGCCAUGCGAGUCAUUGUAGCAAUACAAGGCAGACGGCUCAGUAACGCGUAGUCAACCUAACCUAUGGACGGGAAUAACCUUGGGAAACUGAGAAUAAUGCCCGAUAGAACACUAUACCUGGAAUGGUCUGUGUUCCAAAUGAUUUAUCGCCGUAGGAUGGGACUGCGGCCUAUCAGUUUGUUGGUGAGGUAAUGGCCCACCAAGACUAUUACAGGUACGGGCUCUGAGAGGAGUAGCCCGGAGAUGGGUACUGAGACACGGACCCAGGCCCUAUGGGGCGCAGCAGGCGAGAAAACUUUGCAAUGUGCGAAAGCACGACAAGGUUAAUCCGAGUGGUUUGUGCUAAACGAACCUUUUGUCGGUCCUAGAAACACCGAUGAAUAAGGGGUGGGCAAGUUCUGGUGUCAGCCGCCGCGGUAAAACCAGCACCUCAAGUGGUCAGGAUGAUUAUUGGGCCUAAAGCAUCCGUAGCCGGCUCUGUAAGUUUUCGGUUAAAUCUGUACGCUCAACGUACAGGCUGCCGGGAAUACUGCAGAGCUAGGGAGUGGGAGGGGUAGACGGUACUCGGUAGGAAGGGGUAAAAUCCUUUGAUCUAUUGAUGACCACCUGUGGCGAAGGCGGUCUACCAGAACACGUCCGACGGUGAGGGAUGAAAGCUGGGGGAGCAAACCGGAUUAGAUACCCGGGUAGUCCCAGCUGUAAACGAUGCAGGCUAGGUGUUGGGGCGGCCACGCGCCGCCUCAGUGCCACAGGGAAGCCAUUAAGCCUGCCGCCUGGGGAGUACGGCCGCAAGGCUGAAACUUAAAGGAAUUGGCGGGGGAGCACCACAAGGGGUGAAGCUUGCGGUUCAAUUGGAUUCAACGCCGGA
rnacentral:rRNA from 1 species